UACAGAGGUCCCAAGCGUUGUUCGGAUUCAUUGGGCGUAAAGGGUGCGUAGGUGGCGCCGUAAGUGGGGUGUGAAAUUUCGGAGCUUAACUCCGAAACAUGCAUUCCAUACUGCGGUGCUUGAGGACUGGAGAGGGAGACUGGGAAUUCUCGGUGUAGCGGUGAAAUGCGUAGAUAUCGAGAGGAACACCUGCGGCGAAGGCGGGUUGCUGGGCUGACACUGACGCUGAUGCGCGAAAGCCAGGGGAGGCGAACGGGG
rnacentral:rRNA from 1 species